rnacentral:rRNA from 1 species
CCUACGGGGGGCAGCAGUGAGGAAUAUUGGUCAAUGGGCUUACGCCUGAACCAGCCAAGUCGCGUGAGGGAAGACUGCCCUAUGGGUUGUAAACCUCUUUUGUCAGGGAGCAACGCCGGUUACGUGUAGCCGGACUGAGAGUACCUGAAGAAAAAGCAUCGGCUAACUCCGUGCCAGCAGCCGCGGUAAUACGGAGGAUGCGAGCGUUAUCCGGAUUGAUUGGGUUUAAAGGGUGCGUAGGCGGAAUGCCAAGUCAGCGGUAAAAUCGCGGGGCUCAACCUCGCUCCGCCGUUGAAACUGGCGUUCUUGAGUGGGCGAGAAGUAUGCGGAAUGCGUGGUGGAGCGGUGAAAUGCAUAGAUAUCACGCAGAACUCCGAUUGCGAAGGCAGCAUACCGGCGCCCAACUGACGCUGAAGCACGAAAGCGUGGAUAUCGAACAGGAUUAGAUACCCCAGUAGUC